CUUUUAAUGAUGUAAAAUUAUAAAUCAUAUUGCAAAUGACAAGGUCCCAAUCUAAUAGAAUUUAUCUUUAUUGCUGGCCUUAGGAGAAUGAUGGUCACAUCCAGAAGAUAGAACAGAAGUAAUCAACUGCAAUAAGGGCACAUCAGACCUUCGCAGUUGCUUCCAGGCUAAAUCAGUUAAGGAAACAUCUGCAUAAUGAGGGAGGCUCAUUUCACUUCACCACUGACCCUCAGAAAAGAUCCUGUGAACACAAG
rnacentral:lncRNA from 1 species